AAAAGGAAAAAACCGUUCGCUGGAAAAUUAUACCCGUACGCAUCUGCCUCCACCGCCGCCGCCGCCGCACCACUCGCCGCUGUGGCCGACCUCAACCCGCCCGCCCGCCGCCGCCGCACCUCUGCCCUCUCGCCGCCUCCGCUGCGGCGGUCGAGCGCCGCUUCUGGAUCAGGUCAACGUGAUGGCUCGGGCGGCUGGGGACGACGCGCCUGCUUGAUGCAGAACAACGGGGCGGGAUCCGGCGGGCGCGGUAGAAGGAGGGAUCCGGCGCGGCGGCGCGAAGUACUUGCAGGUGGAGGCGGGCCUCCAUGGCUGGCAGGGAGAUCUCCAAGGUCAUGGCGGGGCUUCGAUUUUUCUGAGAGAAAAAAGAGACAGAGGAGGAUCCAGGGAGGAGGGUAGGUAGGAGAAGAAGGACGGGGAACAAGGAAGGGUGCGACAGGGGUGCAGCUGUGCGAGGGCACUGGUCUCCCGCGUGAGGAGUGCCUCUCCUCGGGAGGAUCGGAAGGGAGCGAGUGAAACUCAAAUCCACUUCAGAGCAAGCUGCUAAUUUAAAUGGAUUUGAUUGUCCCGCUUCUGAGCAUAAGCAUGAUAAAGUGCAGCAACCGACUUUGGCUUACUGUUUUGGAAAUCGCAACCGGUGCUCUCCUGCUUGUUUUUGUGAUUAUUGGUGUUGUUACUGCCUACAGAAGAUGCAAUCUAAAGCCUUCUAUAAGAAUAUCAUCAUGGAGUAGAUUAAAAAGUUGGAGCGACGAGAUAACAAUACUGAUUGGCCAACAACGUAAGCCCCACCAGUGACGCGACGGGAGAGCUCCGACCUGUACGUGGUAGUGGGAACGCAGAUCCGUGUCGCCGACCUACACAAGGCCAUGGCCAACGCGCCGACGCAUGGUUCAUCGUCCGUCUUCGUCAGGUGACUUUUCAUGCGAUUCCUACUUCUAAAAAUUAGAAAAUACCUUCAGAUCAAAGCAGCGGAUUUGUAGAUGUUUGGGAAUUGGUGCUACUCCAUCUCCAUCUGGCCAACGGUCUUUGGUCACUGAUUCUGAGCUUUCAGGUCCUAGAUGAGAAGGUAAGGAUGUACUUGAACAUUAUGAGAAGACCCAGUUCCAUCACCUCAGAAGCGAGAAGUUAACCAUUUAAUAUCGUUGGUUCUAAAAUUUGUUUAAGAAAAAUGUUCAUUCUGCUAUUAGCACCACGAUUAUGUGUCAAUUGUAGAUUCUUAAUUGCUUGGAAUUAUUUUAUAUGUUUGGUUCCUUCAGUUCAUAUUUAUUCAACAAAAAAAUAUUUUCAAGAUUGGUCCAUUUGAGGAUCAAACUUCGAACAUGUGAAUUGAUGUGGCACCAAGCUAAGCCUGUUGAUACCUUGCUCUCC